rnacentral:rRNA from 1 species
AGUUGCGGGGUAACGGCCCACCAAGCCGACGAUCAGUAGCCGACCUGAGAGGGUGACCGGCCACAUUGGGACUGAGACACGGCCCAAACUCCUACGGGAGGCAGCAGUGGGGAAUAUUGCACAAUGGGGGAAACCCUGAUGCAGCGACGCCGCGUGAGCGAAGAAGUAUUUCGGUAUGUAAAGCUCUAUCAGCAGGGAAGAAACUGACGGUACCUGACUAAGAAGCACCGGCUAAAUAC